rnacentral:rRNA from 1 species
UAGGGAAUCUUCGGCAAUGGACGAAAGUCUGACCGAGCAACGCCGCGUGAGUGAAGAAGGUUUUCGGAUCGUAAAACUCUGUUGUUAGAGAAGAACAAGAACGUUAGUAACUGAACGUCCCCUGACGGUAUCUAACAAGAAAGCCACGGCUAACGACGUGCCAGCAGCCGCGGUAAUACGUAGGUGGCAAGCGUUGUCCGGAUGUAUUGGGCGUAAAGCGAGCGCAGGCGGUUUCUUAAGUCUGAUGUGAAAGCCCCCGGCUAAACCGGGGAGGGUCAUUGGAAACUGGGAGACUUGAGUGCAGAAGAGGAGAGUGGAAUUCCAUGUGUAGCGGUGAAAUGCGUAGAUAUAUGGAGGAACACCAGUGGCGAAGGCGGCUCUCUGGUCUGUAACUGACGCUGAGGCUCGAAAGCGUGGGGAGCAAACAGG